AUUGAACGCUGGCGGCAUGCCUUACACAUGCAAGUCGAACGGCAGCACGGGAGCAAUCCUGGUGGCGAGUGGCGAACGGGUGAGUAAAGUAUCGGAACGUGCCCAGUCGUGGGGGAUAACGUAGCGAAAGUUACGCUAAUACCGCAUACGAUCUAUGGAUGAAAGCGGGGGAUCGCAAGACCUCGCGCGAUUGGAGCGGCCGAUAUCAGAUUAGGUAGUUGGUGGGGUAAAGGCUCACCAAGCCGACGAUCUGUAGCUGGUCUGAGGGGACGACCGGCCACACGGGCACUGGGACACGGCCCAGACUCCUACGGGGGGCAGCGGUGGGGAAUUUUGGACAAUGGGCGAAAGCUUGAUCCAGCCGUGCCGCGUGAGGGAUGAAGGCCUUCGGGUUGUAAACUGCUUUUUUACGGAACGAAAAGGUUUGGCCUAAUAAGCUGAGCUCAUGACGAUACCGUAAGAAUAAGCACCGGCUAACUUCGUGCCAGCCGCCGCGGAAA
rnacentral:rRNA from 1 species